CCUACGGGGGCAGCAGUGGGGAAUAUUGCACGAUGGGCGCAAGCCUGAUGCAGCCAUGCCGCGUGUGUGAAGAAGGCCUUCGGGUUGUAAAGCACUUUCAGCGGGGAGGAAGGCGGUGAGGUUAAUAACCUCAUCGAUUGACGUUACCCGCAGAAGAAGCACCGGCUAACUCCGUGCCAGCAGCCGCGGUAAUACGGAGGGUGCAAGCGUUAAUCGGAAUUACUGGGCGUAAAGCGCACGCAGGCGGUCUGUCAAGUCGGAUGUGAAAUCCCCGGGCUCAACCUGGGAACUGCAUUCGAAACUGGCAGGCUAGAGUCUUGUAGAGGGGGGUAGGAUUCCAGGUGUAGCGGUGAAAUGCGUAGAGAUCUGGAGGAAUACCGGUGGCGAAGGCGGCCCCCUGGACAAAGACUGACGCUCAGGUGCGAAAGCGUGGGGAGCAAACAGGAUUAGAUACCCGAGUAGUC
rnacentral:rRNA from 1 species